rnacentral:piRNA from 1 species
UGCUGAGUGCCAAAUUUGCCAGCAGCA